UACGGAGGGAGCUAGCGUUAUUCGGAAUUACUGGGCGUAAAGCGUACGUAGGCGGCUUUGCAAGUUAGAGGUGAAAGCCUGGAGCUCAACUCCGGAACUGCCAUUGAAACUGUUUAGCUUGAGGACGAGAGAGGUGAGUGGAAUUCCCAGUGUAGAGGUGAAAUUCGUAGAUAUUGGGAAGAACACCAGUGGCGAAGGCGGCUUACUGGUCCGGUUCUGACGCUGAGGCGCGAAAGCGUGGGGAGCAAACAGG
rnacentral:rRNA from 1 species